rnacentral:rRNA from 1 species
GACGAACGCUGGCGGCGUGCUUAACACAUGCAAGUUGAACGGAAAGGCCCUGCUUGCAGGGUGCUCGAGUGGCGAACGGGUGAGUAACACGUGGGAGAUCUGCCCCUUACUUUGUGAUAAGCCUGGGAAACUGGGUCUAUUACUGGAUAGGACCAUGCUGUCGGUGGUGUGGUGGAUAGAUUAGUUUCGGUAAGGGAUGAGCUCGCGGCCUAUCAGCUGGUUGGUGGGGUAAUGGCCGACCAAGGCGUCGACGGGUAGCCGGCCUGGGAGGGUGGACGGCCACAUUGGGACUGAGGUGCGGCCCAGACUCCUCCGGCAGGCAGCAGUAGGGAAGAUUGGUCAAUAGGCGGAAGCCGGAUGCAGCGACGCCGCGUGGGGGGUGACGGCGGUCUGGUUGUAAUCACCUUUCAGCCAUGACGAAGCCCUUGUGGUGACGGUAGUGGUAGAAGAAGCACCGGCUAACUACGUG